CCCGCGGGCCGUGACUGGCGCGCUGGGAUGGGACCAACCAUCGGGGAGCGGCCCGCGAGAAACGUGCCGUGCGCCUGGGCCAUCCGU
rnacentral:ncRNA from 2 species